rnacentral:rRNA from 1 species
AGAUUGAACGCUGGCGGCAGGCCUAACACAUGCAAGUCGAGCGGUAGAGAGGUGCUUGCAUCUCUUGAGAGCGGCGGACGGGUGAGUAAUGCCUAGGAAUCUGCCUAGUGGUGGGGGAUAACGUUCGGAAACGGACGCUAAUACCGCAUACGUCCUACGGGAGAAAGCGGGGGACCUUCGGGGCCUCGGCGCCAUUAGAUGAGCCUAGGUCGGAUUAGCUAGUUGGUGAGGUAAUGGCUCACCAAGGCGACGAUCCGUAACUGGUACUGAGAGGAUGAUCAGUC